AUGAUACUCCCUCCGUCCGAAAAUACUUGUCAUCAAAAUGGACAAAAAGGAAUGUAUCUAGAACUAAAAUAUAUCUAGAUACAUCUCCUUUUAUUCAUUUUGAUGACAAGUAUUUCCGGACGGAGGGAGUACUAC
rnacentral:pre_miRNA from 1 species